UUGAGAUUUAAAAGGCCGCGGUAUUAUGACCGUGCUAAGGUAGCAUAAUCAUUAGUCUUUUAAUUGGAGGCUGGAAUGAAUGGUCGGACAAGAGAUAAGCUGUCUUAAGUGAAAAUAUUGAAUUUAACUUUUAAGUGAAAAGGCUUAAAUUUUCUAAGGGGACGAUAAGACCCUAUAAAACUUUAUAUUUUAAAAUAAUAAUUAAUUUUGUAUGGUAGUUUUAUUUUUAAGUAUUUUAUUGGGGUGAUAAGGAUAAAAUAACAAAUAACUGUCUUUUUUUUAUUACAAUAAUAUUUGGGUAAAUGAACCUGGUAAGGGAAAUAAGAUUAAGUUACUUUAGGGAUAACAGCGUAAUUUUUUUUAAGAGUUCUUAUCGACAAGAAAGUUUGCGACCUCGAUGUUGAAUUAAAAGUUCUUUAUAGAGCAGAAACUAUAAAAGAAGGUCUGUUCGACCUUUAAAAUUUU
rnacentral:rRNA from 1 species